UUCAACAAAUAAUAAACAGAACAAGCUAAACUAAAUUAGUUUAGUAAGUUGGGUCUAUUUAGUAGUAUUUAUAAACUAAAGGUAGAAUUAAACAAAAAAAGAGAAGGCAGCCAUAAAAAAAUCUCAAUUCAAACUAAUGAAAGCAUAUAUGGCUGGGAAGUGUUUCAACCUUAACCGUCAGAUGAGGUUGUUGACAAGGACAUGAGCACACAAUACUUGAAGUCAGCUUUGAAGCCUUCGAAGAGGGUGUUGACAUUGAGAAGGAGAUCCUUUCAUCUAAUUUGAUGGAUGAAUUGAUUGGUGACCUAAUGUGAAUGAGUCCUCUUCUGGCUUUAAUCAAACUGAAAUAAGCAAAAUUGGCCUCAAACAAUAUAACAAGUUUGGGCAAAACUUGUGAGUUCUUCUUCUUACUCCUUUAGAAGUCAAACCACCUGUCUUCUCCAAAGUGAUGUAAGACACGUUUGUAACCGAUAAACUAUCACCAAAUGAAGGUGAGACCUUUAUAUUGAUGAAUAAAAUUACAAUGCUAAGGGCCAAGGGGAGUUCGACCCAGUUCCUAUAGCCGCGCUGCUUCACAAAAACUAAGGUUCUAACAAAAACAAUACAAGUUCAACGUAAUAAACAAAAUUAGCUAUAACAUCUCAACUGGAUCAGUUCUAUACAAAAUAAUUCUUCUUCUACUUUGCCUUAGGGAUCAGACUCCAUUUGUAUGAGAACAAGUUUGUAAGGUUGGGUAUAGAUGGUAGGUUAGCAUGUGCAAAAAUAACCAACUCCUCAUUUGUAAUACUCCGUUUUGCCAAGACAUAUGCAACUUGGUUGGCUAUCGAUGUUAGUUCUAGCUCUUCCAUUGGCAUCCCUACUUCCAUCAAUAUAUUACUGAACAGCUUACUUUCCAUAUCUUCCAACAAAUUGAUAUUGAAUCCUCUUUGGCUUAAGUUCGGCAUAAUUAAAAUCAUUUCUAGAGCAUUUUUGAUAAAUUUUGAUGUUGAUGCAUAACUAAUUCCAGUGAUUUCUUACCACCAGAGGUAAAGAUAAUUACAUCAUCUAAGGUGAGUAAUGUAUGGGCAUCGAUCAACCAUGCAUAUUUACCACAAUGAUUAUUCAUACACCAUUCUAUAUAUGUGGUUUACCCUUUUCUUUUCAUCUGGACUCAUAUAUAAUAUCAUGAGUAAAUUAUAGAGGAA